GGUUAAGCGACUAAGCGUACACGGUGGAUGCCCUGGCAGUCAGAGGCGAUGAAGGACGUGCUAAUCUGCGAUAAGCGUCGGUAAGGUGAUAUGAACCGUUAUAACCGGCGAUUUCCGAAUGGGGAAACCCAGUGUGAUUCGUCACACUAUCAUUAACUGAAUCCAUAGGUUAAUGAGGCGAACCGGGGGAACUGAAACAUCUAAGUACCCCGAGGAAAAGAAAUCAACCGAGAUUCCCCCAGUAGCGGCGAGCGAACGGGGAGCAGCCCAGAGCCUGAAUCAGUGUGUGUGUUAGUGGAAGCGUCUGGAAAGGCGCGCGAUACAGGGUGACAGCCCCGUACACAAAAAUGCACAUGCUGUGAGCUCGAUGAGUAGGGCGGGACACGUGGUAUCCUGUCUGAAUAUGGGGGGACCAUCCUCCAAGGCUAAAUACUCCUGACUGACCGAUAGUGAACCAGUACCGUGAGGGAAAGGCGAAAAGAACCCCGGCGAGGGGAGUGAAAAAGAACCUGAAACCGUGUACGUACAAGCAGUGGGAGCACGCUUCGGCGUGUGACUGCGUACCUUUUGUAUAAUGGGUCAGCGACUUAUAUUCUGUAGCAAGGUUAACCGAAUAGGGGAGCCGAAGGGAAACCGAGUCUUAACUGGGCGUUAAGUUGCAGGGUAUAGACCCGAAACCCGGUGAUCUAGCCAUGGGCAGGUUGAAGGUUGGGUAACACUAACUGGAGGACCGAACCGACUAAUGUUGAAAAAUUAGCGGAUGACUUGUGGCUGGGGGUGAAAGGCCAAUCAAACCGGGAGAUAGCUGGUUCUGGCCGAAAGCUAUUUAGGUAGCGCCUCGUGAAUUCAUCUCCGGGGGUAGAGCACUGUUUCGGCAAGGGGGUCAUCCCGACUUACCAACCCGAUGCAAACUGCGAAUACCGGAGAAUGUUAUCACGGGAGACACACGGCGGGUGCUAACGUCCGUCGUGAAGAGGGAAACAACCCAGACCGCCAGCUAAGGUCCCAAAGUCAUGGUUAAGUGGGAAACGAUGUGGGAAGGCCCAGACAGCCAGGAUGUUGGCUUAGAAGCAGCCAUCAUUUAAAGAAAGCGUAAUAGCUCACUGGUCGAGUCGGCCUGCGCGGAAGAUGUAACGGGGCUAAACCAUGCACCGAAGCUGCGGCAGCGACACUAUGUGUUGUUGGGUAGGGGAGCGUUCUGUAAGCCUGUGAAGGUGUACUGUGAGGUAUGCUGGAGGUAUCAGAAGUGCGAAUGCUGACAUAAGUAACGAUAAAGCGGGUGAAAAGCCCGCUCGCCGGAAGACCAAGGGUUCCUGUCCAACGUUAAUCGGGGCAGGGUGAGUCGACCCCUAAGGCGAGGCCGAAAGGCGUAGUCGAUGGGAAACAGGUUAAUAUUCCUGUACUUGGUGUUACUGCGAAGGGGGGACGGAGAAGGCUAUGUUGGCCGGGCGACGGUUGUCCCGGUUUAAGCGUGUAGGCUGGUUUUCCAGGCAAAUCCGGAAAAUCAAGGCUGAGGCGUGAUGACGAGGCACUACGGUGCUGAAGCAACAAAUGCCCUGCUUCCAGGAAAAGCCUCUAAGCAUCAGGUAACAUCAAAUCGUACCCCAAACCGACACAGGUGGUCAGGUAGAGAAUACCAAGGCGCUUGAGAGAACUCGGGUGAAGGAACUAGGCAAAAUGGUGCCGUAACUUCGGGAGAAGGCACGCUGAUAUGUAGGUGAAGCGACUUGCUCGUGGAGCUGAAAUCAGUCGAAGAUACCAGCUGGCUGCAACUGUUUAUUAAAAACACAGCACUGUGCAAACACGAAAGUGGACGUAUACGGUGUGACGCCUGCCCGGUGCCGGAAGGUUAAUUGAUGGGGUUAGCGGUAACGCGAAGCUCUUGAUCGAAGCCCCGGUAAACGGCGGCCGUAACUAUAACGGUCCUAAGGUAGCGAAAUUCCUUGUCGGGUAAGUUCCGACCUGCACGAAUGGCGUAAUGAUGGCCAGGCUGUCUCCACCCGAGACUCAGUGAAAUUGAACUCGCUGUGAAGAUGCAGUGUACCCGCGGCAAGACGGAAAGACCCCGUGAACCUUUACUAUAGCUUGACACUGAACAUUGAGCCUUGAUGUGUAGGAUAGGUGGGAGGCUUUGAAGUGUGGACGCCAGUCUGCAUGGAGCCGACCUUGAAAUACCACCCUUUAAUGUUUGAUGUUCUAACGUUGACCCGUGAUCCGGGUUGCGGACAGUGUCUGGUGGGUAGUUUGACUGGGGCGGUCUCCUCCUAAAGAGUAACGGAGGAGCACGAAGGUUGGCUAAUCCUGGUCGGACAUCAGGAGGUUAGUGCAAUGGCAUAAGCCAGCUUGACUGCGAGCGUGACGGCGCGAGCAGGUGCGAAAGCAGGUCAUAGUGAUCCGGUGGUUCUGAAUGGAAGGGCCAUCGCUCAACGGAUAAAAGGUACUCCGGGGAUAACAGGCUGAUACCGCCCAAGAGUUCAUAUCGACGGCGGUGUUUGGCACCUCGAUGUCGGCUCAUCACAUCCUGGGGCUGAAGUAGGUCCCAAGGGUAUGGCUGUUCGCCAUUUAAAGUGGUACGCGAGCUGGGUUUAGAACGUCGUGAGACAGUUCGGUCCCUAUCUGCCGUGGGCGCUGGAGAACUGAGGGGGGCUGCUCCUAGUACGAGAGGACCGGAGUGGACGCAUCACUGGUGUUCGGGUUGUCAUGCCAAUGGCACUGCCCGGUAGCUAAAUGCGGAAGAGAUAAGUGCUGAAAGCAUCUAAGCACGAAACUUGCCCCGAGAUGAGUUCUCCCUGACUCCUUGAGAGUCCUGAAGGAACGUUGAAGACGACGACGUUGAUAGGCCGGGUGUGUAAGCGCAGCGAUGCGUUGAGCUAACCGGUACUAAUGAACCGUGAGGCUUAACCUU
rnacentral:rRNA from 1 species